UGAUGACUGGAAGGACACGGGCUACCCUGGACUCAGGUUUCGUCCUGCCAGGUUGUCAAUUUGCAUUUGGGCAGAGCUGGAGUUCUGGUGGGGUUCUUCAUGUGGCGGGAUGGAACCAGGCCUCCCCUUGCCCAGGCUCCCGCGCAGGUCAGCUAGGUCAAUCUUGGCCAUGUUUGAGCUCUGCCUGUAGGGGAGGGUGGUCCUGUGUCUGGCCUGAACUCUGCUUGGGGCCUGCUUGUGGUAGUUGGUCCCAGGCCUACCUUGGGCCAGGCUCCCGCGCUUCUCAGCGAAGCUAAUCUGCACAGGGGCUGAAAUUUGGUGGCUGUCUGACAGUGGGUGGAGUCAUUUCUGGGGGGAGCCUGAACUCGGGUGCCAGUCUGAAGGCCUUGGGCUACCCUGGUCUUGGGCUCCGUUCCCUGCCAGUUCGUCAAGUUGGAUCUGGGCAGAGCCUGAGCUCUGGUGGGGUUCUGCAGGUGUUGGGAUGGAACUUGGCCUCCUGUUGCCCGGGCUCCCACGCAGGUCAGUGAGGCCGAUCUUGGCCAUGGAUAAACUCCAGCAGGGGUCAACCUGUGGGCAGAGGGGGUCCUCUGUCUGGACUGAAAUCUGCGUGGGGCCUGCUUGUGGCAGUUGGUCCCAGGCCUUCCUUGGACCAGGCUCCCGUGCCUGUCAGGUUGAUCUGCAUUGGGGCUGAACUUAGGACUGGGGCUGAACUUAGGACUGGGGCUGAACUGUCAGACAGUCAGUGGGCGGAGUCAUUCCUGGGCAGAGCCUGAGCUCUGGUGCCAGUCUGAAGGUGACUGGAUGGACUUGGAGUACCUCAGGCUCUGUCUCCUGCCAGGUAGUCGAGUUGGAUCUGGGCAGAGCUGGAACUCAGGUGGGGUUCUGCAGGCAGCGGAAUGGACCCGGGCUUCCCAUUGCCUGGGCUCCAGCACAGGGUAGUGAGACUGAUCUGGGCCUUGUAUGACCUUUGGCAGGGUUUUGCCUGUGGACGGAGUCGGUCCUGGGCCAAGUCUGAGCUCAGGUGGUGGUCUGGUGGUGGCCAUAUGUUCCCAGGGCUACUGUCUUCCUGGGCUCCUGUGCACAUCUUCAAGGCUUACCUAGUUGGAUCCUGAGAUCCAGCGGAGUGUGGCUGUUGGAAGAAGGGAACAGGAUCUACCCCUGUCAGGACUCCUGAGUGGAUCAGCAAGGUGGAUAGGGGUGGCAGAUGAGCUCGGGCAGGGGUCAGCCUUUGGGAGGAGACUGUUCUGUGUCUGGAAGCUCUGCUCAGGGCCUACUUGUGGCAGUUGGGCCCAGGCCUACCUUGGACCAGUCUCCUGAGCCUGUCAGCAAGGCUGAUCUGGACUGGGGCUGAACUCCAGUGACAGUCUGUCAGUGGGCAGAGUCAGUCAUGGGCGGAGCCUGAGCUCUGGUGCGAGUCUCACGGUGACUGGAUGCACUUGGUCUACUCUGGGUUUGGGCUUUGUUUCCUGCCAGGUCAUGGAGUUGGAUCUGGGCAGAGCUGGAGCUCUAGUGGGGUUCUGCACGUGGCAGGAUGACACUGGGCCUCUCCUUGCCUGGGCUCCCAAGCAGGUUAGCGAGGCCAAUCUUGGCCGAGUUUGAGCCCUGCCUAUUGAAUGGAGGUGGUCCUGUGUCUGGCCUGAACUCUGCUUGGGGCCUGCUUGUGGCAGUUGGUAUCAGACCUACUUGGGACAGGCUCCCGUACCUGUCAGUGAGUCUGACCUGGGCUGGGGCUGAUGUUCUGCAAUUAUCUGUCAGUGGGUGGAGUCGGUAGUGGGCAGAGCCUGAAUUCGGAUGCCUGUCUCUUGAUUACUGGAAGGACAUGGGCUACCCUGGACUCAGGUUUCUUCCUGCCAGGUCUUCGAGUUGGAUCUGGGCAGAGCUGGAGCUCUGGUGGGGUUCUGCAAGUGGCUGGAUAGAACAGGGCCUCCCCUUUUCCUGGGCUCCUGUGCAGGAUAGUGAGGCCGAUCUGGGCCUUGUAUGAGCUCUGGCAGGUUCUGCUUGUGGCAGAGUUGUCCUGGGCCGAGACUGAGCUCAGGUGGUGGUCUGGUGGUGGCUAUAUGUUCCCAGGGCUACCCUCUUCCCAGGCUCCUGUGCACAUCUGCAAGGCUUAUCUGGUGGGAGCCUGAGAUACAAAGGGUGGGUGGAGGGUCUGCUGGUGGUGGGAAGCACCAGGGCCUAUUCUGGGCUUCCACUACCACUCAGGUCGUCGAGGCUGAAAUGGGCCGGGAUUGGUCACCAGCGAGUGUCUGUUGGUGGGAAGUCUGUCCUGGUCCAAUCCUGAGCUCUGGAGGGAGCUGCUGGAGGGUGGAGGCAGUUCUGGGCAGAACCUGAGCUCUGGCAGGAGUCUCACAAUGAGUUGAUGGACUAGGGCUACCCUGGGCCCCGUCUCCUGUGCAGGUCCUUGGGGUGGCUCUGCACUGGAUCUGAGCUCCUGCAGUGGUCUGCUAGUGGGCAGAAGCAGUCCUUGCCCAAGUCUCAGCUCCAGGGAGGGUCGGCCAGUGUUGAGAUGGUCCCAGACCUGUCCUUUCCCGAGCUCCAUGCAGGUUCUCGAGGCUGACCUGGGCAGAGCCUGAGCUCCAGCGGGUGUCUGCUGGUGUGCGGAAGUAGUCCUGGGCCAGACCUGAGCUUGCUGCAGGUGUCCUGGUUUAGGGAUGGACACAGGCCUACCCUGUGUCUGGCCUCCCACCCAGGUCGGCAGGGGCAGAUCUGGACUGUACAUGAGCUCUGGCUGGUGUCUGCAGGUGAGUUGAAGCCAUCCUGGGCUGGGUCUGAGCAUCCCACUGGUGGCGGGAUGAAAGCAGGCUACACUGGGCCACAGCUCCAGUGCAUCUGGGAAGGGCCUGAGCUCAGGCGGGUAUCUGUGGACCUUUAUUUUAUUCAUUUGUUCGUAGGUGGUACUGAGAAUCAAAGCCAAAGCCUCACAUGUGGGAGACAAGAGUUCUAUCACUGAGUCACAACCCCAGCCCUAUUUGCUUCUUGUUGACCUUUAAUCAUACCAUCUUUUGGUUCUAUAUCAUUUGUUCAUGCAUGCAUUUGAAUUUUAACAAGUAGUUAUUAUGUGAUAUCACCUGCAAUGCUUCUCAAGCUGGCCCCAAAUGAGACCUUGAUCCUCAGCAGGAUUACAUCCCACACAUCCAUGUCACCUCUGGCAUAGGUGCAGAAGAGAGAUACUUAAGACAUCGUCCUUGACUCUCAACUUUUGGGACAAAUUGUUUUGAAGAGGUAAAGGAUAAGUGGUCAUAAGAGAUCCUGCAGAAUGCAGAACAGGUAUGGUUUUGAAUGAAUAAGGAUUUAUGUAUUAAUUAAGUUUGUUUAUUUCCUUUUUGCUGGCGUUCAUGUAUCUGUAAUUUGUUUUUCCUUUUUCUUUUUGGAAUGGGGAUCAAACCCAUGGCUUUGGGAAUGUGAGGCAAGUGCUUUACAGCUUUGCCAUUGAGCCACUUCCCACCCCAUUCAUUCAUUGUCAGCGUGGGAAUUCAGGGCUGUUUUUAUGAAUGAAUCUACUAUGAAUGUUAAAAAGAGACUGACCAAUGGCGUUCGUGUGUGUCCAACCCAAUUAUCAUAACUUUGGGCCAAUAGCAUUGGUACUUCUUUCAAGUCCUAAUUAGCAUAAGUUUGGACCAAUAGCAUUGGACCAAGUGCUAUAUAAACCCCUUGGAGGCUGUUCUGAGGAGGAGAAGCUGCCAAGGUCCUCAAGGUUGCUGAGCUGGAGUUCGCUGGAGUUUCUGGAGUUUCACCGGAGUUUCGCCUGAGUUCAGCUGGAGUUCCGCCGAGUUCCACCGACAUUCCAGCCUGCUUUGGUUCCCGGAAAUGAUUCUUUGACAAAAGAGACUGCAGAAAGAAGAAGAAAUGGUUGAGGAUCUGCUGAGGUCUGCUGCCACGCUGGAUGGAAUGGCCCGCCAUGAGGAGCUAGGACUCCUCUCUGCUGCAGAGGCCUCCCCGCCCCACGCGCGAAGACUCCUACCUGCCAGUAGAAGCCAUGGAGUUUCAUCUUAAAACUCUGGUUCCAAAGAUGAGGCCUGUUGGUGGACUAUACAUCCUGCCUUGAAGCAGUGAUCAGAAGGCGAGAAACUAUGGGUUGGAGGUGAUCUCGUCCUAGUUAGCGAGUCCUUUGAGCAAUACUUGGCUAUUAUGCACCAGGAAGGCCACCUGGAUGAUGGCUUAAACUUUUCUAGAUCUCAGCAUGAAGAAACAUGCACAGACCAAGUCAUCUGGAGCAAUGUCUCACUUUUCAGUAGAUUUAUAAGAGAGAAUAAUGAAGACUUAUAUGCUUUUGAACUACAUUAAAAAAUAGUGGUCCAUGUAAUAACUGAUUUUUCCACCUGAAGAUUGAAACAGUUGCAUAUCUACACACGAAAUCAAACAUGUGGCCAAAGUGUUUUCUGAUACCAAUAUAUUAGUACACCAUGUCAUCUGUACAGGAUGGAUAUCAUCUAUAUCUUGAAAUUUGCAAAUUUCAUGAGAGGAAAAUAUUUUUGAAAUAUGCACUUUUUAAAAGUUUUCUUUUAAUACUUUAUUUUAUUUAUUUAUUUUUAUGUGAUGCUGAGGAUCCAACCUAGGGCCUCACAUGUGUGAGGCAAGUGCUCUACCACUGAGCCACAACCCCAGCCUGAAAUAUGCACUCUUUAUAUAUACAGAUAAUUCAGUAUGAUGAAGAUGUUAAAAAAGGUAUACAUUUUAACAAGUUUGCACAUAUAUCUUGUUUCUAUAAUUUGCUUUUGGAUAUUUGGGGAAUGGAUAUUUAUGUUUAUAUUUUUAAAUUUUGUUGAUGUAUUCUACUUGCUAAUGUUUCUACAAGUCUA